rnacentral:rRNA from 1 species
GACAGAGGUGCCAAGCGUUAGGCGGAAUCACUGGGCUUAAAGCGCGUGUAGGUGGCGGCCUAAGUACCUUGUGAAAUCCUGCGGCUCAACCGCAGAACUGCUUGGUAUACUGGGUCGCUUGAGCCAUCCAGGGGCAACUGGAACAAGCGGUGGAGCGGUGAAAUGCGUAGAGAUGUGGAGGAAUACCGAUGGCGAAGGCAGCCCCCUGGGCCAAUACUGGACGCUCAUGCACGAAAGCGUGGGGAGCAAACAGG